rnacentral:rRNA from 1 species
UGGGGAAUUUUGGACAAUGGGGUAAACCCUGAUCCAGCCAUCCCGCGUGUGCGAUGAAGGCCCUCGGGUCGUAAAGCACUUUUGGCAGGAAAGAAACGUCAUGGGUUAAUACCCCGUGAAACUGACGGUACCUGCAGAAUAAGCACCGGCUAACUACGUGCCAGCAGCCGCGGUAAUACGUAGGGUGCAAGCGUUAAUCGGAAUUACUGGGCGUAAAGCGUGCGCAGGCGGUUCGGAAAGAAAGAUGUGAAAUCCCAGAGCUCAACUUUGGAACUGCAUUUUUAACUGCCGGGCUAGAGUGUGUCAGAGGGAGGUGGAAUUCCGCGUGUAGCAGUGAAAUGCGUAGAUAUGCGGAGGAACACCGAUGGCGAAGGCAGCCUCCUGGGAUAACACUGACGCUCAUGCACGAAAGCGUGGGGAGCAAACAGG